GACGAAGGAUGCAAGCGUUAUCCGGAUUCAUUGGGUUUAAAGGGAGCGUAGGUGGCCUUGUAAGUCAGUGGUGAAAUCUCUCGGCUUAACUGAGAAAUUGCCAUUGAUACUGCAGGGCUUGAGUACAGAUGCCGUUGGCGGAAUAUGACAUGUAGUGGUGAAAUACAUAGAGAUGUCAUAGAACACCGAUUGCGAAGGCAGCUGACGAAACUGUAACUGACACUGAGGCUCGAAAGUGUGGGGAUCAAACAGG
rnacentral:rRNA from 2 species